CCUACGGGAGGCAGCAGUGGGGAAUAUUGCACAAUGGGCGAAAGCCUGAUGCAGCAACGCCGCGUGAGCGAUGAAGGCCUUCGGGUCGUAAAGCUCUGUCCUCAAGGAGGAUAAUGACGGUACUUGAGGAGGAAGCCCCGGCUAACUCCGUGCCAGCAGCCGCGGUAAUACGGGGGGUGCAAGCGUUGUUCGGAAUUAUUGGGCGUAAAGAGCGUGUAGGCGGCUGAAUAAGUCAGAUGUGAAAUCCCUGGGCUUAACCCAGGAAGUGCAUUUGAAACUAUUCAGCUUGAGUAGGGGAGAGGAAAGUGGAAUUCCUGGUGUAGAGGUGAAAUUCGUAGAUAUCAGGAGGAACACCGGUGGCGAAGGCGACUUUCUGGCCCUAUACUGACGCUGAGACGCGAGAGCGUGGGUAGCAAACAGGAUUAGAUACCCUGGUAGUCCACGCUGUAAACGAUGUUCACUAGGUGUUGGGGGUAUUGACCCUCUCAGUGCCGCAGCUAACGCAUUAAGUGAACCGCCUGGGGAGUACGGUCGCAAGAUUAAAACUCAAAUGAAUUGACG
rnacentral:rRNA from 1 species